ACAGACUGCUGAGGGUGAAACUGUGUUCAGCAACCCUCCUUGACUUUUGCUGUGACCCUCCAAGGAAGAAUCGGAAGUAGAUAAGUAAGCAGGAAGUAAACAGGGAUGUUCGCCAUUGGAGUCCAGCCAUCAUCUUACAAGGGAGCCCAGACCACAUGGAGAGGCCAUGAUGAAAUGUUAUGGGCAAUAGCUAAGGUUGCAGCCAACAGGCAACAUCAACAACUAGUAGUGAGCAAGGAGCCUUCAGAUGAUUCUAGUCCCAGGCUUCAACCUGUCCCAGCUGAUGCAAAGUACAGCAGAGAUGAGAAUGCCCAGAAGUUCCUCUCUCCGCAAAUACACCUGCAAUUUUCAAGUCCUUUUAAUUCAUGCCUUUAAAUGAAAGGGUUGAGUAUACAAGAAUAUCAAUAAGUUCCAAUUGAAGAGCGGAUUCUUUUGCAAUUCAGGCAUGUGCCGGCGAUAACGGGCGAGUUGGCAUGAAGAGAGGCAGAGAUGGAUUAAUUAUGCAGAGAACAUGGAAAUUCUGCUUAUCAUCGGCUAGCAAAGGAGCCCGGCUCACAUAAUCAGCAAACGAAGGGAGAGGAAAAAAUAACAAUGCAAUGGCACCUUCCAGCCCAUCAUCAGGAUUUUUUCUACCCCCCUUGUAAUUAAAAAAUAACAUACACUUAUAGCCCUAUCUCCUGUGCAGGAAAGGAGUGGAUGUCCACAAAAUAAUUGCACUGGGAUAUUAGAGCUGGCAACAUGGGCUGUCCAUUCCUGCUUGCUGUCCCUCUCACCCUCUCUUUCUCUUUUGGCCUCUCAAGGCACUUUGCUCCUGAACUCAAUCCAAAUCAGACGGAUGUCUCAGGUGACAUGCUAGCUCAGACUUCAAAAAAUCCCAAAUUGGUACCUUAUCAUGAUCCAAGCAAACAUACAUACAUAUGUGAUAAAUAUUUGAAGGGCUGACUCUGGGGGAAGGCUUUGGAACUGAUCACCUGUGGACUAUUUGGUCACUUCCGUUUUUUGAUGAAACCUGUCCUAAUAACCUUCAUUUUGCAAAGGGACUGGAUGAAAAUGGUGGGCUGUGCCAUGGCUGUGUUCAUCUUCUCAAAUGAUUUCACUUACCUACAAGUUUUGGUUUCUAUUCCCUUUGCCAAUUCACUUUACGAAUCCAAGUAUAUAUAGUUAAUGAUUGCAGUGUUUGUGCCUCCAAAUCAGAAUUCACAAUUCUUCAUUGUUACUGUAAAA